rnacentral:lncRNA from 1 species
AUUCACAUAAUCAUAAUCACUAAUAUUAAAUAGAAAAAUCACAUGAUUAAGAAACUUUUUGCUGCAAAUUUGAGGGCCCAAGGAAACGUGAGUUUUAAGAAAAAAAUGAACUUUAAAAAUAUUUCAAAGCAAUGAUAGAUUAAAGAAAAUUUUUUAAUUUCUUGUCAAGGGAAAAGAGUUAGAAAAUGUCACCGUGCACUUGGAGUCGGAGUAAAUUAGUGUAUCGAUUGGACUAUAAAUAAAAGUAAAACCCAAUACUUAAAAAGACAAAAAAAAACAAAUAAAAAAUUGGAGUCCAGUGCGGGCAUUUGCCCGCACUGGACACUGAGUGGCUCCGCCACUAUUUGGGUGUGAUCCGAAUUCUUUGAUGAAAAUAAUUGAGAGUUCUAAUUAAAGUACAAAUUAAGAAGAAUUCUAUUUUCAAUGCUUUUAAAAUCCUAUUCGAAGUUUAUUGGCAAAUUCUAAUUGAAAUUCUAUUUGGAACCCCUAUUGGGAGUUGAAAUUUGUGUUGACUUAAAGAGAUCAAAAUAAGAAAACUUUUGGGUAUUCUAUUUAUUUAUAACUCUACUUCUAGGGCUUGAAUUAUUCCCUAUAAAUAGUAUACUCUUCAUUCGGUUUAUGUAAUUGCUAAAAUUGUAUUUUUUUCUUCAUUGGUUGUCAAUUAAUAAAAAUUACUCGGUUCCUCGACUAAUCUCUUUUCUUGCUUUAAUAUUAUUCUUCCUUGUGCGACAAUACUUCAUAUUGUGCAACACUUGACUCUGUGUUUCCAACAAGUGGUAUCAAAGCUAUUGAUUGUUAUUUUGUUUGAGGUUUUCUAUUAUCGAUGGAAACCAUAAAGUAUGAAAUUUCGCUUUUGAAUUUCAGUAUAAGAUUUUCAUUGUAGCAAGUAAAUAUGCGAGCUAUAUUGAGACAGAUGGAUUUGGAUGAUGCGUUGUUAGGGUUUGACAAAAUGCCCACAACUUGGACAACAGAGGAGAAACAAUGGGAGGAUCGGAAGACACUUUCACAGAUUUAUCCUCAUCUCUCUAACAAUAUUCUUUAGAACAUUUUGAAGGAGAAGACAGUAGCUAUGUUGUGGUUUAGGGCUGGAGCAAUUGUGCAUGAUGAGCAAAUUGAAUCUCAAGCAGAGGUUAUAUUCUUAUCGCAUGGUAGAAGACGGAUCUUAGAGGACCAUCUGGCCAUGUUCAAGGAGAUUGUCACUGAUCUGGAAAUGUUAGAGGUAAAAUAUGAAGAAGAUGACCUAGCCUUGAUCAUGUUUUGCUCACUGCCUGCUUCAUUUUCAUCGUUCAGAGACACGAUUCUGUGUAAUGUGAUACACUUACCGUUGAAGACGUAUAUGAUACUUUGUUCUCAAAUGAGAAGAUGAAGCAUCUGAUCAGAGCUAAGUCCAGAGGUGAAGAAGCUUUUGUGAUUUAUGGUGAUUGACGAGGGGUAAGUCGACGGUGAAUUUCAGUAAUCAAGUUCGUUUCUAUUGCAAGAAGAAAGGACACAUUAAGAGAAAUUGUGAGAAAUUACAGAAUAAAGAUACUUUGGCCGCAAAUCAUGGGAAACAAUCGAGCACUUCGGACGAGACCAACAUAGUUGAGGACUAUUUGAGUGAUGGAGAUGUAUCGACGGUUUCUGACUUGGAAUCCAAACCCGACGAGGAGUGGAUUUUGGAUAUUACUUGUGCAUUUCAUAUGUGUUCUAAUUUAGAUUUGUUUGAAGUAUAUGAAAUGCUGACGCAACGUGUCCUUGUCAUGGGAAACAGUGAACUUUGUCAAGUAGCUUGUAUUGGUAGGGUCAGAUUGAAGUUGAUGGAUGGGACAAUUAGAACACUUGGCCAGGUUUGACAUGUUCCAGAUUUGAAGAAGAAUCUCAUCUCAUCGAGUACCUUGAUUCGAAAGGUUUUGAGUUCUCCAAAAGAGAUGAAGUCUUGAGGAUCCGGAAGGGUGUCCGUAUUGUAUUGGAGGGACAGAUGAGGUCCCAAUUGUACAUCUUGCAUGGUUAGACAAAAUCGGUGAAAAAAGUCAGCACAGGUUUAGUAUCGUAGUGGAGAUUCAGUUUGGUAUGGUACCUUUGGAAUUUGGCUCCGUAUCCAUAUUGAAGAAUACUACUUAGUUGAUUGUGGAAGAUAUGGGUAAUUCCUUUUUGCCACUAUUGUCCACGGUUCUAUCGUAUUCAAGUGCUAGGAAUAGACCUAUUGGAGAUAGGGACGAGAUUGUUGAUUUUGUUGCGCAUACUUUUGGGACUUUUGAAGGUGUCGAGACUGGCAAGGAGCCUUCAGUUAUUGCGUUUAGAGUUGAUUUUACUACAGGGUAUGCGGUUUUCGAGGUAGCUUGUGAUGCAUCACAUGUAGGUAUAGGGGGCAUUCUCAGUCAAGAGGGUCAUCCAAUUGCAUUCUUCAGUGAAAAGCUUAGUGAGGUGCAGCGUCGAUAUUCAGCUUAUGAUAUGGAAUUCUGUGCUCUGGUUCAAACACUUAAACAUUGGCAUCCCUAUUUACUACACAAGGAGUUCAUCCUUUUACAGAUCAUGAUGCCUUGAAAGAUCUUCAUUCACGAAAUAAGAUGAGUGCCAAACAUGCCAGGUGGAUGGAUUUUCUACAACAAUUCGACUUUGUCAUUCGCCACAAGUCAGGGGCUGAAAAUAAGGUGGCUGACUCACUCAGUCGCCGUCGGCAUUUGUUAGCUUUACUUUCGGCUAAUUUUGUGGGAUUUCAAUCUCUUAAGUCCCAGUAUAAAGAUGAUGGGGAUUUUGGCCCGGUGCAGAAGGCGUUACAUCCCAGCUUUGUUGCAAGUAAUGUGGAUGGUUCCCAAAUAGGUGCUACAGAAACAGGUACUGAAGAUACAAAUGCUACUAAAGUGGAAGAUUAUGUCAUUAAAGAAGGGGCUUCUUUUUUUUAAGCCACGAUUAUGUAUACCAGGUAUAUUUCCGUGAUUUUCUUAUUGAAGAGUUGCAUGGAGGGGGGCUGGCUGGCCAUUUUGGGCACUCCAAAACGUACGACCUGGUUGCUGAUCGAUUUUUUGCCCUCAUUUAAGGCGUGAUGUGCGUUGAGUUGUUGAUCAUUGUUGAGUUUGCCAACUCAACAAAGGUGGUAAGCAAAACACAGGACUUUAUAGGCCUCUAUCCAUUCCAAGCAAAUCGUGGCAAGACCUUAGUAUGGAUUUUGUUUACAGUGCGACGCAAUGAUUCUAUCAUGGUUGUGGUGGACCGUUUUUCGUAAAUGUCCCACUUUAUUCCUUGCAAAAGGACAUUUGAUGUUACAAGGGUCACAAUGUUAUUUUUACAGGAGAUAGUAAGGCUACAUGGGGUUCCUUCUACUAUAGUUUCUAACAAGGAUGUGAAAUUCAUGAGUUAUUUUUGGAAGAUACUCCGGGCAAAAAUGGGUACUAAUUAUUAUAUUCUAGUGUUUUCCAUCCACAGACAGACAGGCAAACGGAAGUGACGAACCGGAGUGUGGGAAAUCUUCUUCAAUGCCUUAUAGCUGAUCAUGUCACUUGCUGGGAUUUAAUUUUUCCCCAAGCUGAAUUUACAUUUAAUAAUUCAGUUAACAGGUCUACUGAGUGUACCCCCUUUGAAGUAGUGCAGGGGUUUCGUCCUCAGGCUCCAAUUAAUUUAAGUCCUCUACCAUUACCUGCUCGGCUCAGUGACGCAGCUAUGGACUUUGCUCAUUAUAUGUAGGAUACACACGAAGAAGUCAGACGACGUCUUACUCAUAGUUCUUAGCAGUAUGCUAAUGCAGCCAACACCCAUCAUCGAGAGAAGCAGUUUGCCAUUGACGAUCUUGUUCUUAUUCGACUAAGGCCUGAACGUAUUCCUCCAGGGAGUUAUGGCAAUCUCCAUGCACGUAAGGCUAGUCCCUUUCGUAUACUUGAGAAAUUGGGAUCAAAUGCUUAGGUUGUUGAGUUGCCCUCCUACUAUAACAUUAGUCCCAUUUUUAAUGUUGAAGAUCUUAUAGAAUUCAAGGGUGAGCUAAAUGACAGUGUUUCUGCGAGUAAUUCAACGGGUGAUGCACGCAUUCCUAGUGUCUCUAAACCGCGAGAAAAAAUAGACGCAAUAUCUAACCAUCAAUUUGUUACUACUCGUCCUGGGGGCUAUUACAAAUUUUUAGCCCAUUGGAAGAACAAGCCACGUUCAGAAUUUGUUUGGCUUCAAGGGGAUGAAUUACGACGCCUCGAUGCUACGUUAUUUGAGUCCUAUCUCCAAGCCCACUUGCCGGAGACAAGUCUGUUAGGAGGGGAGGGAAUUGAUGUGAAUAAUCAUAUGGAUUAACUUGAAAGUCCUACAGAUUAACUUGAAGACUGUUGCUGUUAGUAUUUUUUUAGUUAUUUUUAGGUUGCUGGAGUCCAAUAUUAGUGAAUAACUUAUUAGUUAAAUAAAUAGACAGGUAGGGGGUCUAUAGUAGUUGGUCGAUUUUCUUUUGUUAUUUGAAGCGUGUUGCUUCAGGGAGAAAGUCCCAACAUUUUUUGCUUCAAUUUCAGUCCCUUUUUUUAUCAGCAAUAAAGUCAUUCUUAGCGUUAUUUCUUAAGUUAUUAACAUCCUUUCAUCACACAGUCGUACACCUCUGGCUUUAUUCAUAUGCAUAAACACUUGAAACACACUUGCCUGCUUGCAAGCAAUGACAUAUUUAAAAUUAGAAAUAAAAUAGACGAAUGCAUUAUACAAGGGUAAAUUAUGCAACUCAAUCACACACCUGAACAACUCUAAGGAGGGCACAAUCUUUUAACUAAGACAAAUGUAUAAGAAGUAUAGCGCUUUUCUCCAUCCAUUUGGGCUUAUCUGAUUCGAGGUAAGAUAGAAUUCGUUGUAGAUUGAGACAAAGAAAUGAUGAAGAAGAAACCUCAUACCUCCAUCAAAACAAUAUUUCUACAUGGCAAUCUCACGAGGAUCUGACCCGAGAAGCUCUUCUUUGGGCUUAGGGGCUCUAUAUAUAUAAUUGUCAAUGGGCGUAUACCUAUCAAGUAAUUGAUCCAACUUGGUUGGAAAAUUAUAAAAACUAGGUUCCUUUGGGAUCAAAGAAUACCACCUUGCCCAUCGGCUCCCAUCCAAUUUCAAAAUUAUAAGUUGGAGACUUGAAAGAGCCAAUAUGAUUUUUAAGGGACCAUAGAACAAAUGCAAAAGGGUUAAACAGAUCAGGAAGACUAUCAAUAGUUCGAGGAGGUCGAUCAACCCUGCCACCUUGGCUAGUUAGCCGACCAGCAAGAGGGCUGGCUUACUGGGCUGGUCAACCGACCCGUCAAUCUAGGCUAGUCGACCGACACAAUCAAUCGACCAAUCGACCAGGUCAACCAAUCGAUCGACCCAAUCGGCCAGCAAGGUCGCUCGACCGCUCGACUAGGCUGGUCGACCUUACUAGUCAGUCGACUAACCGACGAGUUUGGUUGACUGGCCUGGUUGGCUAGCAUGGUCGAUCGACCGACCAACCCGAUCGAUCGACACAUCAUUCUAUGAUACGGUUGGUCCCCCUCCAUUCUCAAUAUCAUAUAUACUUUCACUCCUACUGGAUAUCCGAGAGGAUGAUUUAGAAUGUUCUUGGUCAGAUGAUAUGAGGACAAAAUAACCUUAUGCAUCGAAAAUUUAUGACAAACUACUAGAAUUUCAAGAAAAAUUAGAGUAGAAUACGAUAUUACCUUGAGAAUGAAGACAACGAAAAAAGCGCUUAGGGUUUGGAAAAGAGGAAAAGAUGUAAAGAAAAAAUGGGAUUAGCUUCCCUUUACAUAGAAAAUUCUCACGGAUGACAGAAGUCCAAACCCAUGAGUUGACCUACUUAUAGAUGAUCAUUUUAAC